UCCAACAUCUACUGCGCCCUGCCAUUUUGUGCCCCAGGUUUGCUUUAGCUGUUCAGGUAUACUAAUGGCCCCUGCGCUUGAGUAAUAAUUAAAUAAAGAAAAUAUAUUUCCUCCGUUCCUUCUUCUCAGAUGUAAAAUUCGGUCCUCAAAUAAUUUUACUGCGACGGACCGUGGGGAUGCGAAUAUAAUUGAUUAUUACAAAGCUCAUUGUAACAUGAGUGCAUGUAUGUUGCUGCUUGUGUACGUGCAAGAAAUUUCAAAGCUCUAUCCGACUCCUAUCUGCCAUUCCUUUUGUCAACUAGUCUAUACCUAUUUCAUUUACAAGUUAUAACCAUGCCCCUAUUUCAUUCUUCUUUGUCUUCCCGAUUAGUACAUGUUCAUGUUUUAUCUCCCUGGAUAUAACUUAGCAAAGCCAUGUGAUCAAGUUAAAACUAUGUGACAACAAUAUCUUUUCCUUUUUUCCAUUUAUUCAUCAGGUUAAGUUCUGGGCUAAGGUACAUGAUCUGAACAACCCUAGAGAGCUAACAAUGAGCUCGAUGUCAAUCAUUUCAUUAGUCGCUUUCCAUUUGCAGACCCGACAUCCUCCAAUAUUUCCACCGUUCUCUGCCUUGUUAAAAGAUGGUUUAGAUGUUGCAAGUGUUGAGAGGAAUAUCGGACUGUUUAAGGGAUUUGGGAGCAGCAAUACGGAAUCUGUAGCUGAACUGUUUGCAUCAUUGAUGAGUAAAGUGAGUAACUUUAUGGUUCACAUUCUACUUAUGUUUGCGGGGCAAGUUAUUUUUUACAUUUGGAUCUAUAAGAACGUGUCUUAUUAUUGUUGCAGUGCAAGUUAGUUUUCAUAUUUGGUUCUAUAAGAACAUGUCUUAUGAUCAUUUCUUAGUAUAUUCAAUCAGCUCUUCUUCGCACCCACACGUUUAGUAAAAUACUUAAGCUCUUUUUUAAAAA